GAGACAAAAUCUGGGCAAGAAGAAGAGACCAGAAGGAACUGGUCAAUGGGGAAGGGAGAAUCCAACUUUACAUUGGAUCAGGUUCAGAAGGAACUGAAACUUGGGUGGAAGAACUGAAGGAAUGCCCAGGAAUCUGUGGUUCUACCAAGUUCUUGAUGAGAUCCUGGUCCCAAUAAUUACAGAGAGUUCUCAGCCACAUUUCCCAAUCGUGAGGCUUGAGUAGAGGCUGGAGCUGGUCACCAUGCAGCAUCCAUGGACAUACAGCAGGCGGAUACUCCUGGCUCUGGCCCUCUUGUUCUUCAUGGAAUCCUUCGUCCAAGGUUUUCCUGCCAAGAGGGCGAGAUUCCAUUGGGUUCGAUGUCGCCCAGAUAGCCUUUCUGCCAACUGCAUUGAACAAAAGGGGCCAUGGUUCAACAUGCCUGAUGCUGAAGACCAAGGGUUUGCUUCUCCCCCAAUGGAUCCAUUUCUAAUGAAGCAACCCUUGAACAUGGGCGAAAAGUCUCCUUUCUCUGAGGAAGAUCCUUGGUCCAUCUCGGGUUCGGGCUCGGGUUCGGGCUCGGGUUCCGGCUUGGGCAAUGACUUCUUACCUGAAAUGGAAACACAGCCAAUAGAUGAAGAAGAUUUCUACAAUUUCAGACCUUCUGAAGAUGAGGCUGUUGGGCAAGAACUAGCAGAGGAGGAAUUGCUUAUAUAAGCAUGGAAGCUUUCCCUGACACUGAAGGCUGAACAGACAGACAUCUUCUGGGUGUUAUAGAUAAGAAACGAUUGGCUUGUGGACAGAGUGCUUUGUACAAAAUGUAACCUUUCUGGAGAAGCUUCUUCAGCCUAUCUCUUUUUUUCUCAGUAUAGAGUUUAACCAAAUGUACAUUUAUUCAUGAUUGCAAGCUCCAUCGCCUCUCGUUUUCUCACACAUAAAGCAUCUCUGAUCUCCAUGCCUUUGCACAGGCUUCCCUGUAUCCCUGAAAUAUAUUCCCUCCUCCUCUGUCCCUCUUCCUCUGGGAAUUAUCCACUUUAGGGUGCAGUUCAGAUGCUGCUGCCCCCCGUGGAGCCUUUCCUGAUUCCUCCAGUUGUUAAUUUUCGCUCUUUCUUAAAAUAAUUUUGUAUUCACUUAUCUCGAACACACACUCUAUCUCCCCCAUUAGAAUGUAAUCUAUUUGAGGGCAGGAACCGUUUUUAUUUUACUUUUUUGUUGAACCCCUCAGUGCCUUGCACAUAGAAAAAAUAAUAAAGUUUUCUUAAAUUUAAUCUAGAAUAUAGAUGUUAGAGAUCCUCAUACCCACUCCACUCUACUCCCAUGUUACAAAUGAAGAAACUGAGGCUCACAGAAGCCAAACCAGUUAUUCAACACAACAGCUAGUAAAGAGGAGAAGGAAAGGUUCCUACUGAAGAUUUUCGAGUGCAGAUCCAGUGUGUUUUCCACUGUGUCUGCUGCUAUAGGCCCUGGGUGUUUUUCUGUAUAUAAAAGAAGAUAAACCUUUAAUCCAGGAAACCACUCAGCUCCAUCAGCCUAUAGCAGGGGUGUCAAACUCAAAUGCCAUUAAAUCAUACAUAAGGAUCCCUGUGGGCUAUACAUUGACUUAGAAAACCAUAAAUUAGCCAUCUAUGUCUUAUUAUAUUUUAAUUUAUUGUGUGUGUUAAAUAUUUCCUAAUUACAUUUUGAUAUAGUUCAGGCUACAUUUGGGAGUGUUGCUGAUUACUUCCCUGGGUACGUUGAGAAGAUGGAUUCCCCCGUGCCCUCCAGCACCAGGGGCCUGUUGGCCGUAGUCAUCCUGCUAGUGCUGGCCUUGGGCAUUUAUAAGCUUUUCCUGAAAGCCCAGAAUGAGGAUCUCCCUCCGCCCUACACUGAGCAUCCCCAGGACCACCAGAGGUUCUUCCAGGCGUCCCCACCCCCGCCUCCUCCUCCCCCAGGCUUCAAGUCCUAUUUCACAGCAUCAGGCACACCCGGAUGGGGCUUUGGCAAUUCUUUCACGGGUCCCCAAGCGUUUGGCCACUCUGGCCCAGGAUUCUGGACUGGAUUGGGGACUGGUGGCCUUUUAGGCUAUUUGUUCGGGAACACGAAGGGAACAUCCCUUCGUGGUCGCCAUCUCUAACAGUUAAAAUUUAGGGGAGAUGGGGAGACUGAGGCAGGUAGAAAUUAGUUUCUCUCUGCAAGGAGUAUUAUAUUUUUUAGAGGUUUAUUAAAGGUUAAAGAUUAAAAAAUAUACAAGUAAGAAACAUGUGCCUAGGCUAGAGGCCUAGACAAAAUAACCUCACAUCAUUGAAGAGACGCCUCUGCUCCAAAACGGAAGUCCAAAAGAGCCGAGAGAGCCCCUCAAAAGCCUUUGAAUCAGCUUAAAUACCUUCUUGAUCUCGGCCCAGGUGAGAUUACAAGGCAUUCUGGGGAAGUGGAGCAAAGGUUCAUGGGGAUUGUAGUCCUGUAUUCGAGUCUAUUUUUUACACAUCUUAGGUUGUUGGCACAUUUGAUAUCCCUAGUUGAGAUCCCACUGAGUUGCCUGAAGUUCAUAAGGUUAAUUUCUUAUUUCUUUUUUAAAAAACUCUUUCUACCUUAGAAUCAAUACUAAGUAUUGGUUUCAAGGCAGAAGCAAGACUGACUUUAAAGAGGGUUUGGGGGGAAGAGCCUGGCUUCAAAAACAUUUUAAAUAUAUAUAUUUGAGAAGCAAAAUAUUGGGGAGAUGACGUUAGUUCUGAAUCCCCUCCUCCAUUUUUGGAGUUGUGAUUCCCUCAGAGAAUUAAAAUUUUCUUGAUGGGAAAAUUGAAAAAUAACACAUUUUGUGAAUUUUCUAAUGGAUAUUUGGAGUUGGUCAUAUAGCAUGGUGCAUCCAGCUACUCACGACUGUCCUUUGUUCCUAGGGCCUCAGCCAUUGUUUUCUGGGAGUCCAAAAUCCCUUUUAUCCUAAUAAGAUUCUGAACCGACAGGUUUGUGCCUUUUUCUGAAUCUAAUAUUGCUUCAUCUUCUUCUCUAGAUAUUUGUACAUGCUUCAUAUUACCUAAAUAAAGCAAAAUGACUGUAAAACCAGA